rnacentral:rRNA from 1 species
GAUGAACGCUAGCGGCAGGCUUAACACAUGCAAGUCGAGGGGCAGCACGGGUAGCAAUACCUGGUGGCGACCGGCGCAAGGGUGCGUAACGCGUGAGCAACAUGCCCUAUACAGGGGGAUAAUCCAGGGAAACUUGGUCUAAUAUCCCAUAGUAUUUAGAGGAGGCAUCUUCUAUAAAUUAAAGCUUCGGUGGUAUAGGAUUGGCUCGCGUGACAUUAGCUAGAUGGUGAGGUAACGGCUCACCAUGGCAAUGAUGUCUAGGGGCUCUGAGAGGAAGGCCCCCCACACUGGGACUGAGACACGGCCCAGACUCCUACGGGAGGCAGCAGUGAGGAUAUUGGACAAUGGAUGGAAAUCUGAUCCAGCCAUGCGCGUGCAGGAAGACAGCCCUAUGGGUUGUAAACUGCUUUUAUAUGGGAGCAAUAAGGUCUACGUGUAGACUGAUGAGAGUACCAUAUGAAUAAG